AGGGAAUAGCUUGCUAUUUUGCUGACGAGUGGCGGACGGGUGAGUAAUGCUUGGGAAUAUGCCGAAACGUGGGGGACAACAGUUGGAAACGACUGCUAAUACCGUAUAAUGUCUACGGACCAAAGCAGGGGACCUUCGGGCCUUGCGCGUUUUGAUUAGCCCAAGUGGGAUUAGCUAGUUGGUAAGGUAAUGGCUUACCAAGGCGACGAUCCCUAGCUGGUCUUAGAGGAUGACCAGCCACACUGGAACUGAGACACGGUCCAGACUCC
rnacentral:rRNA from 1 species